CAGAACAUAGUUUAAAUAAAAUUUUAACUUUGGAAGUUAAAGAUAUCAUUUUAUAGUUGAUUGUUUUGA
rnacentral:tRNA from 1 species